CUGACCAGACAAGGGCAUUGUCCCCACUCAGAAAUGCUCCAAAAGAACUAAGGAGAAGGAUUAGAGGAGACAAAAUGUUUUUGCUAAAUUCUUGCACUGAAGCCAGAGUUGCUCAGGAAAUAACAGCUCAGUUUGUUAGCUCUGAUCUCUAAUUCCAUCCCAAAUUCAUAACGUUAUUUUUUUUGUUUGUUUCCAUUGUUCAUUUGUUGUGUGCCUCUUAGGAUGUCCCUUUCCAUCUGGGCCUCAAUGACCUUCCCUGGGAAAUGGGGUACUUGUACUUAACCAUACCCCUGCUUCUAAAGACAAACUGGGAAAAUUAAAUGGAAAUUCUAAAAGAAAGCUUCAUCUUUUAGUUCCUUAGAGAACUAGCAUUACAGUUGAUUACCUAGGUGAUGAUUCAAGCUAUUCAACCCUUGUCAUUCUGAAUGUACUUCUCUUCCAGCUUGCCUUGGAAAGAAAAUCAGCCAGUUAAAGAAAGCAUCAGCUGGAACUCUCUCAGCUCUCAGUGACUGCAGAGUGAACUAUGGCAUUCAGCAUAGAAAAUGUUCUUCCAGUGCUCCAAUAAAUAGCAUUCAGUUUUUAGCCCCAGGGAAUUCAGUGUAGCCCUGGUUACUCCUCACUGCCACAGCCAACACUGCUUCCUUGGGUAGGAGAAAUGAUUUAUGGAGGUGAGCAGCCAUUCCAAACUUUAAUUAAGCACGUAAAGAACCAUCAAUUUUUUAAAGGGCACCAACCCAGAAAGAUGAGAGCUGAACUCCUGUAGAACAUAAUUACCUUUCCAACAUUUUAUCUGAUCUCCUUGUUUUACUUCUCUAAGAUGAGCUGAACAACAGCCAAUCAACCACCCCCACAGAAACCAUGGAAAUGCACAGGCCACCCUUGGACCAUGACAUACAGGGCAUCUGACUGAUAGUCCCACCAAGACUGCCUAUGAUCAUUUUACUCCUGCAGAGAAAGAUGUGCCUAAAAGAGAAGCAGCACCUACCUGGAAGACUCAGGAGACAAAGAGGGAAAGAAAUGAAUCCCCAAGAUUUCCUGGGCUGAGCCUAACAGGAUAUGAGAAGCAGAAACUUCUGGAUUGUGAGAAGAAACAAAGGAAGAAGAGAGAUGCUCUAUAGGAGAAAAAUCACAGACAAUAAGUGGGGAGAGCAAGAAGACAAAGUUUUGUUACUUUAAUUCACCACUCCUAUCCCCAGCCACCAGUGGCCAUCCUGUACUGGAUUCUAAACCCAGGGCCCUAA
rnacentral:lncRNA from 1 species